rnacentral:misc_RNA from 1 species
AGAAAGGGCAUAUCUAUCUAUGGAUUUGAAUCAGUCAAUUGAGUUCAAUCUUUCUUCAUCCAUAUCUCCACAGCUGCACAACUUCAUGCCAAUGUCUUGUUUCUUGCUUCCUACUUACCAUCACUCUACAGAGGAGGGUUGUGAAGAGUCCAGGAACUCUCAUUUUAUGCAAGUGCUGAAGCAAAAUUUGGCCAUUUUUUGGAAUCAACAAUUGCUGGAGAUUCAUAAUAUUCCAGCGUUUAAGAGCCAUCAUCAACUUCCUCUAGCAAGGAUCAAAAGGAUCAUGAAAUAUGAUGGAGAAGUGAAGAUGAUCAGCGCAGAAACUCCUCUAUUGUUCUCAAAAGCAUGUGAGCUCUUCAUCUUGGAGCUCACUCUUCGCGCAUGGCUUCAAACUGAAGUAUGUAAGCGCCGAACGUUGCAGCGCUGUGACAUUGCUAGAGCUAUAAGGACCAGUCAUACUCUUGAUUUCUUGGCUGAGGUUGUUCCUUUUGACCAUCACAAGGAUGGUGAGACUGAAAACUGUAGUGAUGAACUUGAACCUCUUCCUGCAAUUCAAGUUCCAUUUCCUGUUAUAGACAUUAAUGAGGAUUUUGUGUUGACGAAUCAUGGAAUUGCUCAACAAUUCAUGAUGAGGACAUCAACGUCUCCUGUUGAAUUCAAUUAUGAAUUUGACUUUAAGGUGAGAGUUAUCUACAUCUCAAUUUCAAUUGUACUCAUCAAUAGAGUCUUAAAUUAUUUACAAUUUUUAUCAUUCAUGACCUUUUGCCUUGCAUGUUUAACUGUAAGCCAUUACAGAAGCAUAAUUUCUGAGAGCCUUGCUGAAAUCAAGGGUGGAAAGAGGGUAGCUGGUGGCAAACAAUCAUCAAAUCUUAUGAUUAAUGAUCCAUAAAACAAACAGACUAAUUCAUGUCUUUUACAUGAGAUUUUAAAUAUAUUUUCUUUUUUCUCAUAAAUGCCAUGAGAAUUUGAAGUAUAUUUUGUUUUAAUUUGAUAGAUCUUAGCUAAUUCCUUCAAACCAAAUCAAGCUAAUUUAGUUAUAUUUUUAUAUUAAAACUUAAUAAAUUAUAUAUGUAAUACUGUAUUUAUAAGGGAUGAAGAAAAGAGAAAAAAAUGUGAAAAAUGCAAAUAAUGAUUCUCCUUCUGCACUCACAUGAUUCAUGAAGCUAAUAGUAUUAACUCUGUCGCAAUUUUCUAAUUAUAAGUAAAUAUUACAACUUUAUUGUAAAUUUACAAAAAGAAAGAAGGAUGAUAUGCUGUCUAGCUGUGAAGCAAAUGAAAAUUGAUAGAAUCUGAGAAGGAAAAAUAUUCGCAAAAUCCAAAAAGUAAAAAGAAAUAUCAAACAUCUUUGCAUGAAAUUCUUAAAGUGGAAGAGCUUCUUACAAAGUGUUUGGCCAAUUAGUCAAAAAGCUUAUUUCUCACGCAGGCUCACCCAUCUUUUUCUUUUGCUUACCUCACAUUUCUUAAUUGCUUUGCUUUGCGCAUUCAGUCCCUCUUAUUUUCAAUUUUACUUCUACGCCCUUUGUCUUCUUUCAUUUGCAAUGUUUCCCUUCUUUCUCAUUUUACAAAUUCUAUAUUUUAUUUAUUCCUUAAAAAUAAUAAUCAAUGCGUACAACAUAACACUUGUGGUCCAGAAAGCAAAAACCCGCAAGUGUAGGAGCAUGUAGGCAAAUUAAAAAGAAAAAAAAAAUGGUAUACAGGUAAAAAGGCAUAUAAGUUAGGGUUAGGUAAAGAUUGAUUGAUAUAUAAAUAGGGCUAAAUUGAACUUGUGGAGUGCAUAAGCUUUCAGUGUUUUGAUAGAAAAAUAAGAAGAGAGUGAAGAAUAAUGAGAAGAGGGAGAGGGAGAUUGAGAGCUACUGGAAGUUGUAGGAAUGGGCGGUUUGGGAAAGAAUUUUAUAUACGAUAAGAGAAUUAAUUAUAUAUAUGUUAUUAUUCUCUUGAAUAAGUGUAUAAAUGUUUCUUCCCAAUGUCGCCCAUUCCGAUGAUUUCCAGAAGCUCCUCCCUUUCCCUUCUUUUCUCUGCUGCGGUGUCCCUAUUCGAUCAUCCAUCACUUUGUCAAGUAUUUAAUCAUCUUUUGUUUCCUUUUCUUUUAUUAAUUCUUCUUGGCUUCAGCCUCCAGGCAAUGUUUUCCUUUGAUUGAGUGCAUGACUAGAUGGAUGCUGCAAGCAACAGGAAACAAAUUCUUUACCAUAUAUAUAUAUAUAUAUGCCUUUGAUUCUAGGCACAGGAAUCUUGGUGUUUUAGUUUUAUGACAAUAAUUUUUCAGAAAUAUUUUUAAAAGAGUUCAUUUAAUUAUAAAUUUAUUUUAAUUUUUGUUAGGAGAUAUCAUCAUAUAUAGUUUAAUGUUAUAUUCAAUAUAUUGCUUUGAUUGAUUAGUACUAAAGAUUAAAUAAUUUCGGAUGAUAAGAGGGUUACAAUUUCUAUUAGCACCCUUUAUUCUUCAAUCCCAAUUAAGUAUAAUUCUAUUAAUUAUUUAUAGAAUUAAUAAUUGUGAAUGAUUACUUUUUGCUCAAUGAUUCUACUAAUGUUUUACUUGAUUAAGCAGUAAUCCUAGUGAAAAACUAUUUACAGAGUCUCUCAUUAGAGAGUGUAUUUUGCUGAGGGUCUUGCAAAGAAGGGGCAUGGAUGCCUGUAUUUUCUCUGAAUAUCUAUUAUGAUGUUGAGCUGGUUCUUAUUUAAUUAGUUAUGAUCUUAUUGUAGGUUGGGUCCUUUUAUUUCUUUGGAUUUCCUCUUUGUACUUUCUAUAUGAGAUAAUCAAUUUUCAUAGUGAAAUUUAUUUUGUUGAUUUGAUUUUGAAUUCAAAAUUUUAUAAAUUGCCUUCAGUGCCAUAUCAUUAAACUAAAAUAGAAUCAACGAUAAUUUCAAUUAGAGCCGAUUAUAUCAAAAAGAAACAAAGCAGAGCUAAAGUUUAAGUUUAUCAUAUUUAGCAACAUAAUCUAAUUCAGUCUUUUGCAUAUAACCUUGGGCAGCUAAUAGCUUAUAUCAUUCUGAAGUGGUAAGUACCAUAUCAGCCACUUGCUUAUCAAUUUAGCACCAUCUUGAUUGCGAGUAAAUGUAUGAGAAGGAAACAAUAUGAAGAGGAGAUAAAGAAGUGGAAAAAGUAGUCUUCUCUUCAGCAGAAGACAAGUUAGUCUUCCCUCAAUCUUUCUUCCCGUAAUAGUAUAUAUAGAUGUGCCGGUUUACUCCGAAUCAUAAAUAAUGAUAAUAAUAAACACUUAAACGCAGCUUUAUUGCCCAAAGAAGGUACGGGCCCUUUUCUUAGGCCAUUGCCCAUCUUUGAUCUUUCUUUGUUUUGCGAGAGCCCUUCCCCUCUCUCCCAAUAGUGAUUACGAUUGGGUCUUGUUUAAUUCAAAACACUUUACUUUUUAGAAAAUUUAUUUUUUCAGCAAAAAUGAUAUAAAUAUUUUUGAUAUAUAUAUAUUGACUCUUAGAAAGUAGGUUGCUUCUUGAUGGGU